GUGCCAGCCGCCGCGGUAAUACGGGGGGGGCAAGCGUUGUUCGGAAUUACUGGGCGUAAAGGGUCUGUAGGUGGCCAACUAAGUCAGACGUGAAAUCCCUCAGCUUAACUGGGGAACUGCGUCUGAUACUGGUUGGCUUGAGUGCAGGAGAGGAAUGCGGAAUUCCAGGUGUAGCGGUGAAAUGCGUAGAUAUCUGGAGGAACACCGGUGGCGAAGGCGGCAUUCUGGACUGCAACUGACACUGAAAGACGAAAGCCAGGGGAGCAAACGGGAUUAGAUACCCGCGUAGUCC
rnacentral:rRNA from 1 species